CAACACGAUAUAUAGGCUUUUCUUCGAAUCCAGGAUCGACGACACCAACAACAUUUACAGGAGCAGGGACAUAAACUUUUAAGUUAAACGCGAAGUGAUUAUAGUGAUAGACUGACAGUGUUAGUUUAGUGUUACAUAUUACAGACACUUUUUUUUUUAUAAGUGCUGAUUCAGGACAGUUCUGUUAAUUUCUACAUGAUUGAACAGAAAUAUGGUAAUUAUAUGGUACAUGUAACAGUCCAGUGGUCAAGUACAGAUCAACUGAUGUUAUGUUGCAGUAACAUCACAAGAUUGAGAGGAUUUUUGUAUGAGUGUAAUUGAGUCCAAUCCACAAUUGGGCUUGAUCUUCAUAUUGAUCUUCAUAUUGAUAUCUACAUUUGAUACUGAUUAUAUAUUGAUUGGUGCUUAAACAAGUGCUUGAUGUGAAGUUGGGAUGUGACUUUAACCUCUUGGGUUAAAUCUACUGGAAGCUUUAUAUUAAUAUAGUAAUAUACUGAGAUCAUACAAUGAAUGGACAUUUCAAUUAAAAGUAUUGAACGAACUCAGCCUCGUUGAUAUUUAUUCCUUUACAUCUUUAAGGGCAUAAUUUUAACAAAGGUA